rnacentral:rRNA from 1 species
GAUGAACGCUGGCGGCGUGCCUAAUACAUGCAAGUCGAGCGAACAGACGAGGAGCUUGCUCCUCUGACGUUAGCGGCGGACGGGUGAGUAACACGUGGAUAACCUACCUAUAAGACUGGGAUAACUUCGGGAAACCGGAGCUAAUACCGGAUAAUAUAUUGAACCGCAUGGUUCAAUAGUGAAAGACGGUUUUGCUGUCACUUAUAGAUGGAUCCGCGCCGCAUUAGCUAGUUGGUAAGGUAACGGCUUACCAAGGCAACGAUGCGUAGCGGACCUGAGAGGAUGAUCGGCCACACUGGAACUGAGACACGGUCCAGACUCCUACGGGAGGCAGCAGUAGGGAAUCUUCCGCAAUGGGCGAAAGCCUGAUGGAGCAACGCCGCGUGAGUGAUGAAGGUCUUCGGAUCGUAAAACUCUGUUAUUAGGGAAGAACAAAUGUGUAAGUAACUAUGCACGUCUUGACGGUACCUAAUCAGAAAGCCACGGCUAACUACGUG